CCUGGGGAGAAGACGUGGGACUGUAGACCUGAAGAAGGGGGGGUGGAGAGGCCCCUACCCAGGGAGCCACCCUGGCCUCGGGGUACUCCUACGGCGUGCUUUCCAACUUCGGCCUUUCUGCUGGAAUCUGGAGAUUUAUAGAACCAUGGAUUUUAGAGCUGAAGAAGUCCAGUUCCAGCUUUCCAAUGGCUCUUUUAAAAAAUGAGAGGAAGCAGGCAAAAAUUGAGAGGUCAUUCCGGACUCCUGACGCUGCCAGUCCCUCAGUGAGACGUGAGCGCCAUUGGCGUCCGUGGCCUCUGUUUCCGUGGCAACCCAGUAACCAUUAAUUUUCAAUUAAAGGAGACAAAAAGCUCGAUGACAGCUCCAGGUCUGCUGAAGAUGUCAAGAAUCUGUAUUAAUAUACAGCAAGAGAGCAUAAUUGUGUGUCCAUCUUCCAGAGCAGCGAAAAAUGGAGGGAUAAUUACCAGCUCGAAAGCCACUCUGUAAUUUAGUUCUUACUGUCACCACAGCCCUACA